rnacentral:rRNA from 1 species
UACAGAGGGUGCAAGCGUUGCUCGGAAUCAUUGGGCGUAAAGGGCAAGUAGGUGGUCUCAUUUGUCUGAUGUGAAAGCCUUGGGCUUAACCCAAGAAGUGCGUCAGAAACGGUGAGACUCGAGUUCUGGAGAGGGUCGUGGAAUUCCCGGUGUAGCGGUGAAAUGCGUAGAUAUCGUGAGGAACACCAGAGGCGAAGGCGGCUUCCUGGACAAUUGCUGACGCUCAGGCACGAAAGCGUGGGGAGCAAAAGGG